GACGAACGCUGGCGGUGUGCCUAACACAUGCAAGUCGUACGAUGACCCGGCUCUUCGGUGCUGGUGAUUAGUGGCGAACGGGUGAGUAACACGUGGGCGACCUGCCCUGCACUCUGGGAUAAGCUCGGGAAACUGGGCCUACUACAGUACACGACAAGUGGCAGCAUGGUCUGCAGGUGGAAAGCCCAUCGGGCGGGUGUGGGUUGGGCCCGCGGACAUUAGGUUCGUGGGUGGGGUGAUGGCCAACCAAGGCGAGGUCCGGUAGCCGGCCGGAGAGGGGGUCCAGUGAGACUGAGACUGGGACACGGCCCAGACUCGUGCGGGAGGCAGCAGUGGGGGGACUUGCAGAAUGGGCGUAAUCCUGAUGCAGCGACGCCGCGUGGAGGAUGACGGGCUUCGGGUUGUAAACCUCUGGCGGCAGGGAACAGGCCUGGGGGUUGUCUUCUGGGUGAGGGUACCUACGGAAGAAGCACCGGCUAACUACGUG
rnacentral:rRNA from 1 species